rnacentral:rRNA from 1 species
UACAGAGGUGUCAAACGUUGUCCGGAAUUAUUGGGCGUAAGGGGCGCGUAGGCGGCCGGGUAAGUGAGAUGUGAAAGCUCUGGGCUCAACCCAGGAAUUGCAUUUCAUACUGCUCGGCUAGAGAUUGGUAGAGGAUGGCGGAAUUCCAGGUGUAGCGGUGAAAUGCGUAGAUAUCUGGAGGAACACCGGUGGCGAAGGCGGGUCUCUGGGCAGUAACUGACGCUGAGAAGCGAAAGCGUGGGGAGCGAACAGG